rnacentral:rRNA from 1 species
CAGAGGGGGCGAGCGUUGUUCGGAAUUACUGGGCGUAAAGGGCGUGUAGGCGGUCUGCUAUGUCGAACGUGAAAUCCCCGGGCUCAACCCGGGAACUGCGUCCGAAACUGGCAGGCUUGAAUCCGGGAGAGGGAUGUGGAAUUCCAGGUGUAGCGGUGAAAUGCGUAGAUAUCUGGAGGAACACCGGUGGCGAAGGCGGCAUCCUGGACCGGUAUUGACGCUUAAGCGCGAAAGCCAGGGGAGCAAACGGGAUUAGAUACCCCGGUAGUCCUGGCCCUAAACGAUGAAUGCUUGGUGUGGCGGGUAUCGAUCCCUGCCGUGCCGAAGCUAACGCAUUAAGCAUUCCGCCUGGGGAGUACGGUCGCAAGGCUG